GUUUAACAACAACAACAACUGCCUGGCCAGUACCUGAUGGUCAUCUGACAUCCCAGUGGGGAGGGGGACCCCCUCCUGGCCUGCUCAUGUCUACCUAGUUACUUACUCUAACUGUAUCUGAUCACCUUCCAGAUCUGGGGAAGUUGCUCAUCCUCCACCAUCCUGCAGGUGCUGUCUGAUCACCCUGGCCUGUGUUCAGCAAGAAACCCAUUAGGACAGUUAGCCAGAAUCCCCGCUUACCCUUCAUGUUUCUUCUUUCUAACCGUGAGAACGCACCAAACAAGCCCACAUGGAGGGACAUUCUACAAAAUGACUGAUCAUUACUCUUCAAAAGUGGCAAGGCCCUGAAAUCAAAGACUGAGGAGCUGUGACAGAUUGAAGGAGGCUAAGAAGAUGUGAAAACUAAAUGCAACAUGGAGUCCUGGAUUGGGUCUUGGAAUAGAAAAAGGACAUUAGUGGAAAAACUGGUGAUGUGAGUAAGUUCUGCACUUUAGCUAAUAGUCUCAUGCUUAGUAU
rnacentral:lncRNA from 1 species